ACUGCUAAUACCGAAUGUGCCUUAGGGUGAAAGAUUUAUCGUCGAUAGAUUGGCUCGCGUCAGAUUAGCUAGUUGGUGAGGUAAAGGCUCACCAAGGCGACGAUCUGUAACUGGUCUGAGAGGAUGACCAGUCACACUGGAACUGAGACACGGUCCAGACUCCUACGGGAGGCAGCAGUGGGGAAUUUUCCGCAAUGGGCGAAAGCCUGACGGAGCAAUACCGCGUGUGGGAGGACGCUUUUUGGAGUGUAAACCACUUUUAUUAGGGAAGAAGAACUGACGGUACCUAAUGAAUCAGCAUCGGCUAACUCCGUGCCAGCAGCCGCGGUAAUACGGGGGAUGCAAGCGUUAUCCGGAAUUAUUGGGCGUAAAGCGUCCGUAGGUGGCUUAUCAAGUCUGUUGUCAAAGCGUGCGGCUCAACCGCAUACGGGCGAUGGAAACUGAUGAGCUAGAGUGCGAUAGGGGUCAGGGGAAUUCCCGGUGUAGCGGUGAAAUGCGUAGAUAUCGGGAAGAACACCAGUGGCGAAAGCGCCUGACUGGGUCUGCACUGACACUGAGGGACGAAAGCUAGGGGAGCGAAUGGGAUUAGAUACCCCAGUAGUCACGCGUUACUCACCCGUCCG
rnacentral:rRNA from 1 species